UUGACUUAUUUGAUAAGUUACUCAGAGAGGCCUACAAAAACAGGGUUUGGGUACCGCCGGCGGGCGUCCUCCCGGGGGGGCGCGCCGCCGAGGCAACGGUUACGGUAACGUUCGCGAUGGUUUGUGGGAGUUUUGCAACUCUUUAAUGAUCCCUCCGCUGGUUCACCAACGGAGA
rnacentral:misc_RNA from 1 species